rnacentral:rRNA from 1 species
UGGAUCCAGACUUUGAUCCUGGCUCAGGACGAACGCUGGCGGCGCGCCUAACACAUGCAAGCCGAACGAGCGAGAGAGAGCUUGCUUUCUCGAGCGAGUGGCCAACGGGUGAGUAACGCGUGAGGAACCUGCCUCAAAGAGGGGGACAACAGUUGGAAACGACUGCUAAUACCGCAUAAGCCCACGACCCGGCAUCGGGUAGAGGGAAAAGGAGCAAUCCGCUUUGAGAUGGCCUCGCGUCCGAUUAGCUAGUUGGUGAGGUAAUGGCCCACCAAGGCGACGAUCGGUAGCCGGACUGAGAGGUUGAACGGCCACAUUGGGACUGAGACACGGCCCAGACUCCUACGGGAGGCAGCAGUGGGGAAUAUUGCACAAUGGGGGAAACCCUGAUGCAGCGACGCCGCGUGGAGGAAGAAGGUCUUCGGAUUGUAAACUCCUGUUGUUGAGGAAGAUAAUGACGGUACUCAGCAAGGAAGUGACGGCUAACUACGUGCCAGCAGCCGCGGUAAAACGUAGGUCACAAGCGUUGUCCGGAAUUACUGGGUGUAAAGGGAGCGCAGGCGGGAAGACAAGUUGGAAGUGAAAUCCAUGGGCUCAACCCAUGAACUGCUUUCAAAACUGUUUUUCUUGAGUAGUGCAGAGGUAGGCGGAAUUCCCGGUGUAGCGGUGGAAUGCGUAGAUAUCGGGAGGAACACCAGUGGCGAAGGCGGCCUACUGGGCACCAACUGACGCUGAGGCUCGAAAGUGUGGGUAGCAAACAGGAUUAGAUACCCUGGUAGUCCACACUGUAAACGAUGAUUACUAGGUGUUGGAGGAUUGACCCCUUCAGUGCCGCAGUUAACACAAUAAGUAAUCCACCUGGGGAGUACGACCGCAAGGUUGCAACUCAAAUGAAUUGACGGA